rnacentral:tRNA from 2 species
GCGUUACCAAGAAUUGACACACUCGCUGCCCUCCGAAGGCAGGGGUUGCUGGUUCGAUCCCAGCCGGGCGCGCCA